rnacentral:lncRNA from 1 species
CUUGAUUCUUUUUUUUCAUCUUAAAUACCUCAUAACAAGCUACACAUAACAUCUUACAAACACCAAAAACAGUAAAUAACCACAGAGAUAUAAGGCUUGACAUUUGCCCAAAAAUAACAGAAUUCGGUUUUACAAAAGUUGGAAAAACUUUGAUUUUGAGCACUUUGAUGUUAUUGGUCCUGAAUUUAACAACCCAGAACAUUAAUAUACUCCCUAUUACACAACUUUAAACAAUCAAUUGCACCAAUUAACAUCGAAUCGAAGGAUUUCUAGAAUUUAGGGUUUUUACCUUUUCUAGCUUUGAUUUCUUGAUUUUGAUCCUUUGAUGCUUCUGAUUUGUUGUUGGUGUGAAUGGGGCUUGAUUAUAGACUGAUAUGGUAAGGAAAU